GCAAGGCUUCGUGUUACUUUCGAUCCAAGAAACGCUCAGCGACUCUGAUAACUUCCCCAAGUCUCUCAACCAAUCAGAAGCGUUGUUGCACGUCACAGGUCUGUGCGACUCAAGGCUGCACCUCCCGCAAAAGGUAUGACCACAUAGACACACAACGUUUAGACCAUACUCGUCAAAAUAAAUGUCUCGGUGAAACUCGAUGAAGUAACCGCAACCCGGCGAAGGACAACGUCUGAUCGUCAAACCCUUGUUUUGUUCCAGGAAAGAUCUGAGAACGUACUCGUUGUGCAUGCCUUUAGCCUCCAACGUUAGCAUAGCUAGGUUUUUCUCCACGGAGAAGAAGCUAUCGUUAUAGUUCGAAUCGGUUAUCAAACCCGAUCGCAUCAACAGCUUCUCCUUGUCUUCGCUCAAACGCUCCGAAACGCGUUGCGAGUCCCACUGGAGAUUCAUGAGGAGUACGGUCGCAGCGGGUUUUGAGAGCAAGAAGAUCUCGGAGAGAUCAUCGAUCUGUUUGUUCAUCUUCUCGUUGAGAUCGUCCCUAGUGAGAACAGAGUACUCUCGCUCUGGAUCGUGCUCCAUGUUUGCUUUUCUUGAAGUUGACGAAGAUAGGAAAGAACGAAUCACCAAGAGGGCAGAUGAUCGAUUAAGGAAACAGGGUUCAUGGUUUACCAAAGACUUCCGUUUUUAUAGGAAAUCUAGGGUUUCACACGGCUUCGCUAUAUUCCUUUUUGAAAAAGUAAACUAAGCCCAUUGGGCCUUAGUCUUAGCUGAUUUUUCCUUUUUUUGAUGGAUAAAGGUUAAUUAGUUGUUGUUCAAAAAAAAAAAAAGGUUAAUUAGUUUUAUUUUAGUAUUAAAAAUAUGCAAGUGAUUAACUAUCGACUUGAAUUUGAUGGUCAAAAAUAGAUUUGUUAAACCAGAUUCUAAUGGUUUCCUUUUCCACUGCCUUGGCGUAGAUAAAAAGCAGAUUUUCUUUGAUAAUGAAACCUGGCCCAUUGGGCCUUAAUAUUAUUUGAUUUUUUCCUUUUUCGGCUGGAAAAAAGGUUUAAUAACCCAACAUUAUUCUAUUCCUAUAUUUGAUAAUUGAUUACAGCUCCACUUGAGAAACUGUCGGCAUUGAACAAUCAGCAUCAAGCCUUCUCUCAUGUUCCGUAUGUACUCUUGGCUAGUGAAGUGGGAUUCGUCGAAAGAUUCUAGCUCGGACUUGGCUUCCACCAUUGCGACAUCACUCGCCUCCCAUCGAUCCACACACGUAACGACAACCGCUUCUGGUCCGUUCGCGAGUUGUGGUAGCAACGGUCCAACACAGGCUCCAUAGUAUCCGUCUGCCGUUUUGUGGGACUCCACUGUCUGCAUACACUCGCUACAUAAACGACCACUACAAACAAGAGAGUAAACACACAGGUUAGUUUAUGAUUAGUCAACACUAAAAAUCGGUCAUGGCAGCAAAACGUUUCUCAAAUUUUUAUUUUAAAAAAAAUCAGUUUAAGCUGCGUCUAAGCAGUAAUCUCCUAUAAAAAAACUAAUUAAAGCCUAACGAUUUCUAGAACAUUGUUAACAAUUAAUAAGAGAACCAUGACAAUCUAAUAAGAUCUAUUUUCUUUUAACCAACCUGCAGUUUAAGCGCUGCUUAGGCACUAAUCUAAUUAAAGUCUUAACGAUUGUUUAACAUUUAAUAAAAGAAACAUGACAAUCUUAGAACUAUUUUUUUUUACCAACCUAGGCACUAAUCUAAUUAAAGCCUAAUGAUUUCUUGAACAUUGUUAACAUUUAAUUAGAGAAACAUGACAAUUUAAUAUCAGUUUUUUUUACCAACCUGCAGGCACUAAUCUAAUUAAAGCCUAAUGAUUUUCUUCAACAUCAUUAACACUUAAUUAGAGAAACAUGACAAUCUAAGAUCAGUUUUUUUAUUUUUACCAACCUGCAGUAGAGACAUUCCACAAACCGGAACAGCCUUGAACGAGAACCAACCUCUAUAGGAAACUGGCAAUGAGGGCAAGGCUUCGUGUUACUUUCGAUCCAAGAAACGCUCAGCGACUCUGAUAACUUCCCCAAGUCUCUCAACCAAUCAGAAGCGUUGUUGCACGUCACAGGUCUGUGCGACUCAAGGCUGCACCUCCCGCAAAAGGUAUGACCACAUAGACACACAACGUUUAGACCAUACUCGUCAAAAUAAAUGUCUCGGUGAAACUCGAUGAAGUAACCGCAACCCGGCGAAGGACAAC
rnacentral:lncRNA from 1 species